rnacentral:rRNA from 1 species
CAGCAGCCGCGGGAAUACGAAGGGUGCAAGCGUUAAUCGGAAUUACUGGGCGUAAAGGGUGCGUAGGCGGUUGUUUAAGUCUGUUGUGAAAUCCCCGGGCUCAACCUGGGAAUUGCAGUGGAUACUGGGUCACUAGAGUGUGGUAGAGGGUAGUGGAAUUUCCGGUGUAGCAGUGAAAUGCGUAGAGAUCGGAAGGAACAUCUGUGGCGAAGGCGACUAUCUGGGCCAACACUGACACUGAGGCACGAAAGCGUGGGGAGCAAACAGGAUUAGAUACCCCGGUAGUCCCUGUCUCUUAUAC